GGCUUUUUGAGAAUAAUUUAAGGUCUGACCUGCCCAAUGAUUGAGUAUUAAAUGGCCGCGGUAUUUUGACCGUGCAAAGGUAGCAUAAUCAUUAGUUUUUUAAUUGAAAGCUUGUAUGAAGGGUUUAAUGAAAAAAUAGCUGUCUCUGUUUGAGUUUUUUAGAAAUUUAUUUUUAAGUUAAAAAGCUUAAAUGUGUAUUAAAGACGAGAAGACCCUAUAGAGUUUAAUAAUUUUAUAGGAUUGUUAUAUUUAGUAUUUUUUAAUAAUUUUUUAGAAUUAUUUGGUUGGGGUGAUCGGAAAAUUAAUUAAACUUUUUUAUGUGAAAUUUCAUUUAUUUAUGGAUUUUUGAUCUUUAUUAAAGAUUAUUAGAUAAAAUUACCUUAGGGAUAACAGCGUAAUUUUUUUUAGAGUUCUUAUCGAAUAAAAAGGUUGCGACCUCGAUGUUGGAUUAAAAUUAAUUAUUGGCGAAGAAGUUAAUAAAUUAGGUCUGUUCGACCUUUAGAUUUUUACAUGAUCUGAGUUUAAACCGGUGUGAG
rnacentral:rRNA from 1 species